rnacentral:ncRNA from 2 species
GGCACAACAGACAGACAUGGUGUCCAACGAUGCAAAGCAUCAGGGCUGAAACGGGAAUGAGGAAUGGUGGACCCAAUUGCGGCACCGAGACCUCGACCGCCCCCGCGACUGUGAGCGGCGAGCGGUUUUUCAUCACCCACUGGUGGCUGGUCUGGCCACUGGGAAGGGGAAAAGCUGCUGAGACCUGCGAGUCAGGAGACCGGCCAUGUAUGGGACGCAAUU